rnacentral:tRNA from 1 species
UCUCCUGUGGCGCAAUUGGCUAGCGCGUCUGACUGUUAAUCAGGAGGUUGGUGGUUCGAGCCCACCCGGGAGAG